rnacentral:misc_RNA from 1 species
AGUAUGUAUCUCUGCUUCAAUCUCCGAUUCAUUCAUCCUCAAUCUAUAGCUUCCUGGCCCCCCUCUUACCAUGUCAAUCUAAGAAUAAUUUUCCAAAAUGAUAAUGACGUGUAUUACCAAAGCCUAUGAACCAAAAUUCUUCAGAAAUGAUAAAAAAUCAUAAACAGAUAACUUUAUACUUGAGAAGGAUUAUGACAAUGACAGGCAUAAAUACCAUGUAUUUGCUUCCUUCAAUGUUCAAUGAAACUUGAGAGUUCACAAGUGAUAUGUGCUUGGGAGGGAUUUGUCCCUUUUCAAGAUAACCAACAUAAUCUGAAACCAUAGCUGCACUGCUAGCAGAUGCUUUA